UUGCAAUGGAAGCAGCAACAAAGGAAAGUCAAACCUAUCGGUUUCUGAUGGUGAGAAAGGGGAGGGGUGGAAAACGACAAAGGCAUUGCAGAAACAACUCGUUCGUGCAACUCCUCGUUAGUAUAGUGGAACACCCAGGGUUUGUGUCACUGUGUUCAAGAAAAGAUCUGCACAGGAAGAAGUUUUAGGAAAAUCUGGGGAAUAAGAAGCAACCAGCAAAGCAGGAUAUACAACUGCUUUCGAAGAGAUCACUAGUUGGCUCCCGCUAUCUGUUCUUUUCAUCCUUAGUAGUAAACCCUUCAAUAUUCAGCUGGGUACAGCCUAGAGGACUAUACUUCCCAGCCUUCUUUGCAUCUAUGGCCUUGCAACUGAGUUCUGGCCAAUGGGAUGUACAUGGAAUUGUCAAUUAUGAUUUUUUGGGGCAAAUACAUAA